GCCCCGGUGCCGUCCCCCCUUUUUAAUCCCCCCCAUCGAUUUCCUCCAUCGGAAGGGAAAUUCUUUCCAGAAACGCAGCAAAAAAAAAAAAAAAAAACAAAAAACAAACAAAACAAAAAACAACAAAAAAACACAACAAAAAACCACCAACCAACCGCCAACAAAACCAAACACACAUUAAAAAAAAAAAGACAAAAAAAAAAAGACAAAAAAAAAAAAAAAAAACAAAGCAGUAUUUUGCUGGAUACUUUUUAUAAUGUGAGAUAUUUUUAUUUCCUUCUCUUCGGUCACUUUACAAAAGAGCGAAUCCAACUCCGGAGGGGGAUUGGAGCCGACGGAGCGUUGGGUUUUUGUUGGGCGUCGUUUUCCCCCCUCCCCCCGUGCCGUUGGUGUGUGCAUGGCACUGCAUGGCCGCCGCCACCCCUCCUCUGCUCCCCUCCGACCGCCAGGAAGAGCGAGAAUGAAUGACCCCGCAAUGCCAAUGGCGGCGCGGAGCUCUCCGUCGCCAAAAGGUCGCUGUGAUCGGGUUUGGUGUCUGCAUGUGAGCGUUGGUGUCACACUGCGAGUGCGCACAGCACAGCACAGCAACACAACACGACAUGGCACAGCACAGCACAGCAACACAACAACACAACACGACAUGGCACAGCAACACAACACAGCACAACACAACAACACAACACGACAUGGCACAGCACAGCACAGCAACACAACAACACAACACGACAUGGCACAGCAACACAACACAGCACAACACAACAACACAACACGACAUGGCACAGCACAGCACAGCUACACAACACAGCACAACACAACAACACAACACGACAUGGCACAGCACAGCACAGCAACACAACAACACAACACGACAUGGCACAGCAACACAACACAGCACAACACAACAACACAACACGACAUGGCACAGCACAGCACAGCAACACAACAUAGCACAACACAACACGACAUGACACAACACAGCACAACACGACACAGCACAACACAACAUGGCACAACACAGCACAGCAGCACAACACAGCACAGCACAAUACGACACAACACAGCACAACACAACACGACACAACACAGCACGACACAACACAGCACAACACAACACAGCACAACAUGACACAACACAGCACAACAUGACACAACACAACACAGCACAGCAUACACAGCACACACAGCACAACACAACAUGCAACACAGCACAACGUGACACAACACGACAGUACAGCACAGCACACACAACACAACAUGACACAGCACAACACGACACAGCACAGCACAACACAUAGCACACACAACACGCAACACAGCACACACAACACAACACGACACAGCACAACACGACACACAACACAGCGCAACACAACAUGACACAGCACAACACAAAACAGCACAACAUACACAGCACACGACACAGCACAACAUACAUAGCACGACGCGACAAAGCACCGUAACUUACACAACACACAACACAACACACAACACAACAUACACAACACGCAGCACACACAACACAACACACAGAGGGGCAAAGGACGCGGGCAAGCGGGCACUGAUGGAUGGCAAUGGGAUGGGAUGCAGUGUUUGGGUUGGACGUGUGGAUCUACACAACACAACACACACAACACAAAACAACACAGUACACACAGCACAGCACAACGCAGCACAGCGCACGCAACACACAACGCAACGCAACACAAUGCAACACACAACAGAAUGCCACACAACACAAUGCACAACACAACACACAACACACAACACAACACAAUGAAGCGCAAUGCACCCACAACACAACACACAACACAGUGCAACACAGCACACAACACACAAUGCAGCACACAACACAACGCAACACAAUGAAACACAACGCACACAACGCCAUGCAACACAACACAACACAGCACACACAACGCAGUGCAACACAACACAACACAGCACACACAACACAAUGCAUACAACGCAAUGCAACACAACACAACGCACACAACGCAAUGCAACACAACACAGCACACACAACACAACACAACACACACGAAAAAGGGAAAAAAAGGCAAAAAAAAAAAGGGGGAAUGAUAUUUUUUGAGAGACUUUUGUAUCAAAGCUGAGCACUUGGAGAAAAAAAAAGAGAAAAAACGAGGAAAAAAAAAAAGCAAAAAAGAAAAAACCAAACCAAAAAAAAAACACAACAAAGGGCCGCUCCAGAUGUAAUAUAUUUUGUGGAUGUUUUUAUUCCUUGGAUUUAUAGUACCUUAUACUAAGGUU
ensembl:lncRNA